rnacentral:rRNA from 1 species
GAUGAACGCUGGCGGCGUGCCUAAUACAUGCAAGUCGAGCGAACAGACGAGGCGCUUGCGCCUCUGACGUUAGCGGAGGGCGGGAGAGACACACGUGGAAAACCUACCUAUAAGACUGGGAUAAUUUCGGGAAACCGGCGCUAAUACCGGAUAAUAUAUUGAACCGCAUGGUUGAAUAGUGAAAGUCGGUUGUUCUGGCACUUAUCGCUGGAUACGCGCCGGAUUAGGUAGUUGGUAAGGUAAAGGCUUACCAAGGCGACGAUGCGUAGCCGACCUGAGAGGGGGAUCGGCCACCCUGGAGCUGAGACACGGUCCAUACUCCUAAGGGAGGCAGCAGUAGGGAAUCGGCCGCAAUGGGCGAAAGCCUGACGGAGCAACGCCGCGUGAGUGAUGACGGUCUUCGGAGCGUAAAACUCUGUUAUUAGGGAAGAACAAAUGUGUAAGUAACUAUGCACGUCUUGACGGUACCUAAUCAGAAAGCCACGGCUAACUACGUG